CCUACGGGAGGCAGCAGUGAGGAAUAUUGGUCAAUGGGCGCAAGCCUGAACCAGCGACGCCGCGUGGGGGAUGAAGGGGCUUUGCCUCGUAAACCUCUGUCGGAUGGGACGAAAGGUGGCUUUGAGCCACUGGGACGGUACCAUCAAAGGAAGGAUCGGCUAACUACGUGCCAGCAGCCGCGGUAAUACGUAGGAUCCGAGCGUUGUCCGGAGUUACUGGGUGUAAAGGGUGCGUAGGCUGUUCUGUGCGUCAGAGGUGAAAUCCACGGGCUUAACUCGUGGGGUGCCUUUGAUACGGCAGGGCUUGAGUACGAGAGAGGUGCGUGGAAUUCCUGGUGUAGCAGUGAAAUGCGUAGAUAUCAGGAGGAACACCGGUGGCGAAGGCGGCGCACUGGCUCGUAACUGACGCUGAGGCACGAAAGCGUGGGGAUCAAACAGGAUUAGAUACCCUGGUAGUCCACGCCUUAAACGAUGCAUGCUUGGUGUUGGUCUCGUAAGAGAUCAGUGCCGUAGUUAACAUGAUAAGCAUGCCACCUGGGGAGUACGAUCGCAAGGUUGAAACUCAAAGGAAUUGACGG
rnacentral:rRNA from 1 species